rnacentral:rRNA from 1 species
UGGGAAAAGCUCAACUUUGUAAUCUGGCAGCUUCGCUGUCCGAGUUGUAGUCCCGAGAAGUGUUUUCCGCGCUGGAUCGUGUAUGAGUCUGUUGGAAUACAGCGUCAUAGAGGGUGAGAACCCCGUU